ACAGCCACAUCACAUUGAAACACCAGUUCCUGUAUGAUCACUGAAGUUAAGCAAUGUCUAGCCUGGUCAGUACCUAGGUGGGUAACUACUUGGGAAUACUAG